rnacentral:rRNA from 1 species
GCAAGUCGAGGGGUAACAUUGUAGCUUGCUACAGAUGACGACCGGCGCACGGGCGCGUAACGCGUAUACAAUCUACCUUAUACUGGGGUAUAGCCUUUAGAAAUGAAGAUUAAUCCCCCAUAGUCAUUAAUAGGGGCGUCACUUAAAGAGUAAAGGUUACGGUAUAAGAUGAGUAUGCGUUCUAUUAGUUUGUUGGUGUGGUAACGGCACACCAAGACUGCGAUAGAUAGGGGCCCUGAGAGGGGGAUC